UGGUUGAUCCUGCCAGUGGUAUAUGCUUGUCUCAAAGACUAAGCCAUGCAAGUCUAAGUAUAAGUUAUUCUUAUGGCGAAACUGCGAAUGGCUCGGUAAAACAGCAAUAAUUUCUUCAGUGAUGACUUUACUACCGGAUAACCGUAGUAAUUCUAGAGCUAAUACGUGCUAUAAAAUGCGGGGAUUUCUCCGUCGUGCCGUUUAGAUAACAACACCAACUUGUUGGUGAUUCAUAAUCGUCUUUCUGACCGUCCUUCGGGGCGACACACUGUUCAAAUUUCUGACCUAUCAACUUUCGAUGUUAAGGUAGUGUCUUAACAUGGUUGUGACGGGUAACGGACCGUGGGUGCGGGAUUCCGGAGAGGGAGCCUGAGAAACGGCUACCACAUCCAAGGAAGGCAGCAGGCGCGUAAAUUACCCAAUCCAGACUCUGGGAGGUAGUGACAAGAAAUAUCAAUGGGGGAACCUAUGGUUCUUCCAAUUGGAAUGAGAUCGAGCUAAAUAGCCAAAUCGAGAAUCCAGCAGAGGGCAAGUCUGGUGCCAGCAGCCGCGGUAAUUCCAGCUCUGUAAGCGUAUACCAAAGUUGUUGCAGUUAAAACGCUCGUAGUCGGAUAUUGGCAGCUCCGGGAGUGUGCGCGUCGUGUGUGCGCUCAGCGGGGGUUGCUUUUGUGGUAUUGUGUGUGAUGAAGCAUUUUAAUUAAUGAACGUCUAUCGCGACCACUUUUUACUGUGAGAAAAUCAGAGUGUUCAAAGCAGGCAUUUGUCGUGAAUGUAUUAGCAUGGAAUAAUGGAAUAGGACUUGUUUCUAUUUGUUGGUUUGUUGUUGGGAACGAGUAAUGAUUAAGAGGGACAGUUGGGGGCAUUUGUAUUUGGAGGCUAGAGGUGAAAUUCUUAGAUUCUCCAAAGACAAACUGCUGCGAAAGCGUCUGCCAAGGAUGUUUUCAUUGAUCAAGAACGAAAGUAAGGGGAUCGAAGACGAUCAGAUACCGUCGUAGUCUUUACUAUAAACGAUGAGGACUGGGGAUCGGGCGAGGGAUUACGAUGACCCGCCCGGCACCCUUCGAGAAAUCAAAGUGUUUGCUNNNNGGGGGGAGUAUGGUCGCAAGUCUGAAACUUAAAGGAAUUGACGGAAGGGCACCACCAGGUGUGGAGCUGCGGCUUAAUUUGACUCAACACGGGAAAACUUACCAGGUCAGGACAUAGUGAGGAUUAACAGAUUGAGAGCUCUUUUUUGAUUCUAUGGUUGGUGGUGCAUGGCCGUUCUUAGUUGGUGGAGUGAUUUGUCUGGUUAAUUCCGUUAACGAGCGAGACCUGGGCGUGCUAACUAGGUGGCAUUACCUUUUGGGUAGUGUUGAUCUUCUUAGACGGACUGGGGGCGUCUAGCCCCCGGAAGCUCCAGGCAAUAACAGGUCUGAGAUGCCCUUAGAUGUUCUGGGCCGCACGCGUGCUACACUGAGUGGAUCAACGGGUUAGGUAACACGAAAGUGUGUCCUAAUCUUGAAAUCCGCUCGUGAUGGGGAUUGACGGUUGCAAUUUUCCGUCAUGAACGAGGAAUACCUUGUAGGCGCAUGUCAUCAUCAUGCGCACGAAUACGUCCCUGCCCUUUGUACACACCGCCCGUCGCUCCUACCGAUUGAGUGGUCCGGUGAGGCUUUGGGAUCUGAGCGGAAAGAGCGUUUCGCUCGUUCUGUUCGGCGAACUCAGUCGAACCUUAUCAUUUAGAGGAAG
rnacentral:rRNA from 1 species